rnacentral:tRNA from 1 species
GCGAUAGUAGUUCAUAAGGUAGAACAUAACCUUGCCAAGGUUAAGGUAAUGGGUUCGAUUCCCAUCUAUCGCU